rnacentral:misc_RNA from 1 species
AAGUCGUAACAAGGUUUCCGUAGGUGAACCUGCGGAAGGAUCAUUAAUACGCUUUUGUUUGUAACAAAACAAAACGUUUUAAACUCCAAAAGAAAUAGUGGAAAUAUAACUUCCGGAUGCGAAUGUUGGGAACUGAGUAAAAUCGGUUCUUUGAAAAAGGGACUUCAAGCAAUUGACACUUCAGAGUAGAGCAGUGAGGUGAAAUUCUCUUUAUGAGAGUUUGGUUCUGAAAAACAUUUGUAUCCGGUUAUCAUAAUCUGUUCUACAAGUUCUAUCAAACAAUAAACCCCAUGUACAACAACUUGAACUAAACAUUUUUUUGUUAUCUACUUGCACACUUGUUGUGUGAGAAGCUACAAAGAAAAAACCUGAACUUAAGAACAACUCUUAACAACGGAUAUCUUGGUUCUC